rnacentral:rRNA from 1 species
CCUACGGGAGGCAGCAGUGGGGAAUAUUGGACAAUGGGCGAAAGCCUGAUCCAGCAAUUCCGCGUGUGUGAAGAAGGCCUUCGGGUUGUAAAGCACUUUAGUGGGGGAAGAAACAGCUUGGCCACACCAAGCCUUGACGGUACCCCAAGAAUAAGCACCGGCUAACCCUGUGCCAGCAGCCGCGGUAAUACAGAGGGUGCAAGCGUUAAUCGGAUUUACUGGGCGUAAAGGGUGCGUAGGUGGCUAUUUAAGUCGGAUGUGAAAGCCCGGGGCUCAACCUCGGAAUUGCAUUCGAUACUGAGUGGCUAGAGUUCGGUAGAGGGCGGCGGAAUUUCCGGUGUAGCGGUGAAAUGCGUAGAUAUCGGAAGGAACAUCAAUGGCGAAGGCAGCCGCCUGGGCCUGGACUGACACUGAGGCACGAAAGCGUGGGUAGCAAACAGGAUUAGAUACCCUGGUAGUCCACGCCGUAAACGAUGAGAACUUGACGUUGGUUCGUUUUACGAAUCGGUGUCGCNGCUACGACGAUAAGUUACUCCGUCCGUCGGGUAGGUACGGCCGCCGACGGUACGAACGUACGAAAGGAAGUUAGACGGCGUGAGACGNGCCGAACGGACGACGACGAGGGAGGUAGG